GAUGAACGCUGGCGGCGUGCUUAACACAUGCAAGUCGAACGAUGAAGCCCAGCUUGCCGGGUGGAUUAGUGGCGAACGGGUGAGUAACACGUGAGUAACCUGCCCUUAACUCUGGGAUAAGCCUGGGAAACUGGGUCUAAUACCGGAUAGGAGCGUCCACCGCAUGGUGGGUGUUGGAAAGAUUUAUCGGUUUUGGAUGGACUCGCGGCCUAUCAGCUUGUUGGUGAGGUAAUGGCCCACCAAGGCGACGACGGGUAGCCGGCCUGAGAGGGUGACCGGCCACACUGGGACUGAGACACGGCCCAGACUCCUAUGGGAGGCAGCAGUGGGGAAUAUUGCAUAAUGGGCGCAAGCCUGAUGCAGCGACGCCGCGUGAGGGAUGACGGCCUUCGGGUUGUAAACCUCUUUCAGUAGGGAAGAAGCGAAAGUGACGGUACCUGCAGAAGAAGCACCGGCUAACUACGUG
rnacentral:rRNA from 1 species